GUGAGGUGACUAAUUGCCGUCAGUGGACAAAGUGAGAGCUUGUCUCUCUGGGUUAAUUAGAGAUUUUCUUCCUCUUGGUUAGUUGGUUUUUCUUAAGUUGUUGAUCACGGCCGUCCCCUGCUCUCAUCGGGUGGGGGCUGCAAAUCCCCAGACCGGAGACAGGUCCAUCCCUCCCCUUCUCUGGUUUUGGUUUGCCAACAGAUGGUAUUACUAUUGGUUUUGUUUUAUUGUGCAGAUCUAGUGCUAAUGGGAGAGGGUCUGUGAUAGAAUCUGCUGCUUGUGAAGUUCCAGUGUUGGUUUCCAAGGGAUCUCCUUAUUUCGGCAAGCAUCUCAAGAGUAUUUCUAGUAUUAAUCAUCUGGCUACUGAGAUCCGAUCCUUUUGGUUAUAUGAGAGUGACAAGUCUGAGCUCUG
rnacentral:misc_RNA from 1 species